GGACGGAUGGCGGAAUCGGCAGACGCGCACGCCUUAGGAGCGUGUGGGGUAACCCUUGAGGGUUCAAGUCCCUCUCCGUCCA
rnacentral:tRNA from 1 species